rnacentral:rRNA from 1 species
CAAUAGCGUAUAUUAAAGUUGUUGCGGUUAAAAAGCUCGUAGUUGGAUUUCUGCCGAGGACGACCGGUCCGCCCUCUGGGUGUGUAUCUGGUUUGGCCUGGGCAUCUUCUUGGAGAACGUAGCUGCACUUGACUGUGUGGUGCGGUGUCCAGGACUUUUACUUUGAGGAAAUUAGAGUGUUUCAAGCAGGCACACGCCUUGAAUACAUUAGCAUGGAAUAAUAAGAUAGGACCUCGGUUCUAUUUUGUUGGUUUCUAGAGCUGAGGUAAUGAUUAAUAGGGAUAGUUGGGGGCAUUCGUAUUUAACUGUCAGAGGUGAAAUUCUUGGAUUUGUUAAAGACGGACUGCUGCGAAAGCGUCUGCCAAGGAUGUUUUCAUUGA